UGGAUAUGUGGACGCCCAAGAAGUGGCGACACCUUCAACCUCCCUUCCUUGAUAUGGAUGGGGGGGGGGGGGGGGGGUCUUCUUGCUGUUGAGAGCCAGGUUGUUUGUGGCACAACACGCCGCAUGGAAGAUGAUGUUUAGAUGAUGUCAUGGGGAUGAUGAUGUCAUAAUUUUAAUUUUUUACAUACACACACACACACACACACACACACACACACACACACACACACACACACACACACACACACUUUACUCCUCAAUCACUUAUUCAUUCAUGAGUGGGUGUGCGUCUGUUUGUCAAGGGAGGGUCGGGCAAAGUCCUUUAUCUUGACUGAACACACACAGUCACACACACACACACACACACACACACACACACACACACACACACACACACACACACACACACACACACACACACACACACACACACAACCUUAUCUUUCCCGUCGUUAAUUUUGAAGUAGCCUCUGCUGUCAGGACUCUAAUAUAAUAUUCUUAAACUGCUGCCUGCACAGACGCGUUUGUGAGGACGCACUUUCCCCUUCACGCAUGCGCUCUCCAUCGCCUCGACACGCGCCGCCGUUGACGACAGAGUAGAACUGUCGCUCAUGGUUGUGAACGGCGCCUUAACCGUCACCUGGAUGUCCAAGGAGGAUACUCCGUAUCGGCCGUACGGAUUAGCCUUUCCAGCAUUUUACCGGUUCGGUGACCCCUGACCCCCAGUGAUGACGACGAUGGCUGCUCUCUGUCAACAUCCUCCUUGGCCCCAGAGGUCCUCUGGCUGCAGUGGGAACCCUUUUGGACGAUGAUCACUCCUUCUCCACCCAGCCAAUCAGAUGCUGGGAUACCCGUGAUGGGCAGCGUCUCUCGGGCCAAUGACGGGCAGGAAUUCCAGGAGGUUGGCGUGGACAGCCCAACAUCCCUCCCCCCUCCUCCUCCUCCUCCCCCUCCCCCUCCUCCUCCCCCACCUCCCCCUCCACCCCCACCCCCUCCUCCCCCUCCACCCCCACCCCUGCCUGGGCAGAAGGGCGACCCCUCCACAGGACAGAAGAAGAGGAGGGUGAGGAGUUUCCUCUGGAAGACCAUCCCUGCGGAGAAGGUGAGAGGCGGAGCUAACCUCUGGAGCCAGGGGCAGGGCCAGCAGCACGAGAUGGACAUCAGCACCAUCCACGAGCUGUUUGGUCAGAAGGACCGCCCGUCAACGCCAGGCUCCGCCCUGAAUCGGGCGGGGCCAGGACGCACCUCAUGCAGAGAGCCAAAGGAGGAGGUGUCUAUUUUGAACGCUAAACGAGGGAUGAAUGUCGCCAUUUCCUCAAACAAUUUAAAAGGUCCAACCACAGCAUGGUAGAGGACAUUCGCCAUGGCAACAGUGCAAUGUUUGGGGCGGAGCCAUUGAGGGAACUUCUUAAAUUACUACCAGAGACUGAAGAGGUGAAGAAGCUGAGGUCGUAUCAUGGAGAAAUCUCUAAGCUUUCAUUGCCUGACUCCUUCCUCUACCAGUUGGUACAGCUCUCCAGUUAUCCCGUGCGUAUCGAGGCCAUGCUAUUGAAGGAAGAGUUCCCUCCAACAUCUCAGACCAUUAAACAAGACGUCCGGACCUUGCGUACCGCUACCAGAGAGUUGCUGGUUUGUGAGGAGCUCCAUGCUAUUCUCCACCUUGUGCUGCAGGCGGGAAACCUUCUCAACACUGGUGGUUUUGCAGGUAAUGCUGUGGGAUUCAGGUUAUCAUCUCUCCUCUCCCUGGCGGAGACC